rnacentral:rRNA from 1 species
GACAAGAAAUAACAAUACAGGGCAAUUGUCUUGUAAUUGGAAUGAUGGUGACCUAAACCCUCACCAGAGUAACAAUUGGAGGGCAAGUCUGGUGCCAGCAGCCGCGGUAAUUCCAGCUCCAAUAGCGUAUAUUAAACUUGUUGCAGUUAAAAAGCUGGUAGUUGAAUUUCUGCGUUAUCGAGUUAUUGACUCUUGUCUUUAAGCGAUUUCGCUUUUGGGAUUUAUCCCUUUUUACUUUGAGAAAAUUAGAGUGUUUCAAGCAGACUUUUGUCUUGAAUACUUCAGCAUGGAAUAAUAGAGUAGGACUUUGGUUCUAUUUUGUUGGUUUUUGAACCUUAGUAAUGGUUAAUAGGAACGGUUGGGGGCAUUCGUAUUUAACUGUCAGAGGUGAAAUUCUUAG